ACUACGUGUAGUGUAUGCAAGUACUUACGAAUAAGCAUCGGCUAAUUCCGUGCCAGCAGCGCGGUAAUACGGAAGAUGCAAGUGUAUCCGGAUUUAUUGGGUUUAAAGGGUGCGUAGGUGGUCUAAUAAGUCAGUGGUGAAAUCUCUUUGCUUAACAAGGAAAUUGCCAUUGAAACUGUUAGACUUGAGAAUGGACGAGGUAGGCGGAAUUCGUAGUGUAGCGGUGAAAUGCAUAGAUAUUACGAAGAACUCCAAUAGUGUAGACUGCUUACCAGACCAUAUCUGACACUAAGGCACGAAAGUGUGGGUAUCAAACAGGAUUAGAUACCCUGGUAGUCCACACAGUAAACGAUGAAUACUAACUGUUUGCGAUAUACAGCAAGUGGUCGAGCGAAAGCGUUAAGUAUUCCACCUGGGAAGUAUGCCGGCAACGGUGAAACUCAAAGGAAUUGACGGGGGCCCGCACAAGCGGAGGAACAUGUGGUUUAAUUCGAUAAUACGCGAGGAACCUUACCCGGGCUCGAACGAUAUUUGAAUACAUCCGAAAAGAUGUAGCUAGCAAUAGCAAAUACCGAGGUGCUGCAUGGUUGUCGUCAGCUCGUGCCGUGAGGUGUCGACUUAAGUGUCAUAACGAGCGCAACCCUUACCGAUAGUUACCAUCAGAUAAUGCUGGGGACUCUAUUGGGACUGCCACCGUAAGGUGUGAGGAAGGAGAGGAUGACGUCAAAUCAGCACGGCCCUUAUGUCCGGGGCGACACACGUGUUACAAUGGGAGAAACAAAGGGUCGCUACCUGGCAACAGGAUGCUAAUCUCGAAAAUCUCUCUCAGUUCGGAUUGGAGUCUGCAACUCGACUCCAUGAAGCUGGAUUCGCUAGUAAUCGCACAUCAGCCAUGGUGCGGUGAAUACGUUCCCGGGCCUUGUACACACCGCCCGUCAAGCCAUGGAAGCUGGAAGUACCUGAAGUAUGUAACUGAAAAGAGCGUCCU
rnacentral:rRNA from 1 species